rnacentral:rRNA from 1 species
UGACGGUACCUGCAGAAGAAGCAUCGGCUAACUACGUGCCAGCAGCCGCGGUAAGACGUAGGAUGCAAGCGUUGUCCGGAUUUAUUGGGCGUAAAGAGUACGUAGGUGGUUGCGUAAGUUUGAGGUGAAAGCCCACGGCUCAACCGUGGAUCCGCCUUGGAUACUGUGUAACUAGAGGGCAGCAGAGGAAAGUGGAAUUCCCAGUGUAGCGGUGAAAUGCGUAGAUAUUGGGAGGAACACCAGUGGCGAAAGCGACUUUCUGGGCUGUUUCUGACGCUGAGGUACGAAAGCCAGGGGAGCAAACGGGAUUAGAUACCCCGGUAGUCCUGGCCGUAACGAUGGAUACUAAGUGUAGUUGGUAUCGACCCCGACUGUGCCGUA